AUGCACCGAGCUUUAAUCCAUCUAUUAUUUGUGGAUGACUCACUAGUACUCAUUAAAGCUACAAGCGAGAGUGCUAUGGCUUUGCAAAAUGUGCUACAACUGUAUGAGGAUUGCUCAGGGCAAGUUGUAAACUAUGAUAAAUCAUCUGUUAUGUUCAGUAAGAAUACAAGGAAUCCGAGGAAACAUGAAGUGCUUGGACUGCUGAAUAUUAGAGCUGAAGCGCGUAAUGAGAAGUACCUGGGACUACCCGUCUAUGUUGGCCAAGCUAGAAAGCAGACCUUUGAGUAUCUGAAGGAGAGGAUAUGGCAGCAGAUACAGGGGUGGCAGGAGAGGUUGCUGUCCAAAAUGGGGAAGGACGUGUUGAUCAAAGCAUGUGCCCAAGCUAUCCCUACUUUUGCUAUGUCAUGUUUCGAUUUGACCAAGACUUUGUGCGAGGAGAUUGGCACGAUGAUAUGUCGAUUUUGUUGGGCAAAACAGGACAAGAAUAACACAAUGCACUGGCUGAGCUGGGAGUUAUUGACAAGACCAAAGAAGGAUGGGGGGAUGGGAUUCAGAGAUAUAUAUGGCUUCAAUAUCGCUAUGUUGUCACGGCAGGCAUGUCGGCUGCUAACUGCACCUGACUCCCUGUGCGCUAGGGUCUUGAAAGCCAGAUACUUUCCGCGCACAUCAAUUCUUGAGGCAGAGGCUCAUCCGGGUAUAUCAUAUACGUGGAGAAGUAUUCUGAAGGGGGUGUCACUUUUGAAGGAGGGUCUGAUACAUAGAGUUGGAGAUGGAAGCUCGGUCAAAAUCUGGAAGGAUCCAUGGCUGAACAGAGACGGACCAAGAACUCCAUCCACCCCCAGGGGAGGCUGCCUCCUCACUAGAGUUUGUGAACUAGUGGAUCCAGACACACAGACUUGGGAUGAAGCUUUGGUGUGUGACAUUUUCAGUCCGGAAGAGGCUAGCAUCAUCUUGGCAACUCCGGUCCGGGAUGAUUGGGAGGACUGCUAUGCCUGGUAUCAUGAUAGCAAGGGAGUUUUCUCAGUUAAAUCGGCUUACCAAAUUUACAUCAAGAUGAGGGAUGCAACACUACUGGGGACCUCGACCGUCUUGCCAAACCGAUGGGAGUGGUCUGACAUCUGGAAGUUACCGUGCCAACCAAAAAUCCAACAGUUCGUGUGGCGUCUAGCUCACAACAGCCUACCACUGAAACUGAAUAUGAAACGCCGGGGCAUCAACUGUGACACUGUGUGUGUUUGUUGUAAACGGCUUGAUGAGGAUGGAGCUCACCUGUUUCUGAAGUGCAAACAAGUGAAGAUAGUGUGGCGUUCUUUGCAACUGGAGCAUAUUCGAAUGCAGAUGUGUACAUGUAUCGAUGCACAUGCAGUGGUGAAUACUGUAUUUCAGCUACCAGAAGAGAAAAGGAUUCUGGUGGUCUGCCUGCUAUGGCGAUGGUGGAACUGGAGGAACAAAACAAAUGCAAGCGAAGCUGCUGGACCAAUAGACAAUCUUGCUGGGGAGAUCAAUCAUUGGGCAAUGGAUUCCCUCGCCCUAUGCCGACAACCUAGUAAUGCGAACUAUAAGCGCAUGGCCCAGGAAUGGCAAAGGCCCGAGGAGGACUGCCUGAAAAUUAACUGCGAUGGCGCAUUUUCAGCGACAUCGUGCACAGGCGGCUAG
rnacentral:rRNA from 1 species